rnacentral:rRNA from 1 species
AAUUAAAAUAAUUAGAUAUAUUAAAAUCUUAAUUUUAUAAUCAAAACAUUAUUAAAUUUAGUAAAGGGGGUUAAAAAUUAUUUUGUAUCUUUAGAUUAAAGUACUGUAAAGGAAUAAUUUUAAUUAUAUAAAAGAAAAAAUUAAAUUUUGUACCUUUUGCAUCAUGAUUUAACUAGAUUUUAAUUGAAUAGACAAUUUCUCGAAAUUUAAUGAGCUAUUUUUAACCUUUAUAUUAGUAUUUAGAGACUAAUUGUAGCAGAAAUUUUCUCAGAGUUAAAAAUAGAAAUGAAAUUUUAUUCGCAUUAAAUGAUAGCUAGUUCUUCUGUAAAGGCAUAGAAGUGCUUUAGAUUAAGUUAUUUUUAAUAAUUAAAAUUAUUGAAAAAAUAUUUAAUCUAAUUAAACUUCUGAGGAUAAGCUCAGAAGUUUUAUAAUUUUUGUAUUUAUUUAAACUUAAAUUUAAGCUUGAAAAUAGCUAAAACUUAUGGAUUUUGUUAUAAUUUCAUUACUUAAAAAAAAUAUAAUUAAUUUACUAAAUUAAAAGGAAGAAAUCUCGAAAAUUAAUUGAUGAGAUAAAUAUAUGCUAAAAUGAGUAUUUUUAGUGCUUGAUUUAUUAAAAAUAUAUAGUUUUAAAAUUUAUUUUUAUAUAUUUCUUUAAAAUUAUAAAAAGGAACUCGGCAAAUAAAUAUUCUGCCUGUUUAUUAAAAACAUGGCUCCUUGUAAUAAAAUAAGAUAAGGAGUCGGACCUGCCCAGUGAAAUUUUUAACGGCCGCGGUACUCUGACCGUGCAAAGGUAGCAUAAUCAUUUGCCUUAUAAUUGAAGGCUAGUAUGAAUGGUUUGACAAGAAUAUAGCUGUCUCUUUAUAAUUUAAUAGAAUUUUAUCUUAGGGUGAAGAAGCUCUAAUAGAAUUAAAAGACAAGAAGACCCUAUCGAGCUUUAAAAGAAUUUAUAGGAAUCAAUUAAUAAAUGACUUAAAAAAUUAACUAUUAAAUAUUUUGGUUGGGGCGACUAAGGAACAAAAAAAGCUUCCUUUAAUAGUAGUAUACAUACGGGUAUUGAUCCAAAACUUUUGAUUAAAGAAAUUAGUUACCGUAGGGAUAACAGCAUUAUCUUUUUUGAGAGUUCUUAUCGAAAAAAAGGUUUGUGACCUCGAUGUUGGACCAGAAUAUCCUAAAGAUGCAGAAGUCUUUAAGGGUUGGUCUGUUCGACCAUUAAAAUUCUACGUGAUCUGAGUUUAGACCGGCGUGAGCCAGGUCAGUUUCUAUCUUUAAUUUACUAAAUAAACUUAGUACGAAAGGACCAGUUUAUUGCAAUAAUCUGUGCUAUAAUAUGAAAAAAUAUAACGAAAAUUUAAAACAUUUAU